rnacentral:rRNA from 1 species
UACGAAGGGGGCUAGCGUUGCUCGGAAUUACUGGGCGUAAAGCGCACGUAGGCGGUCUUUUCAGUCGGGGGUGAAAUCCUGGAGCUCAACUCCAGAACUGCCUUCGAUACUGGAAGACUUGAGUCCGGGAGAGGUGAGUGGAACUGCGAGUGUAGAGGUGAAAUUCGUAGAUAUUCGCAAGAACACCAGUGGCGAAGGCGGCGCACUGGCCCGGUACUGACGCUGAGGUGCGAAAGCGUGGGGAGCAAACAGG